AGGAUCGUAGGAAAGUAAGGCUGAAAGGGACCUCGUUGAUUGUGGUGACUGGCUAGCUAGUAUGUAUCGUGUAGGACUCUGCUGAAGAUUCAUAGAUCAUAGAGUCGGAAGGGACCACAAAGGAUCAUCGUGUCCGACCCUCUGCCCCUGGCAGGAAAGAGGACCAAGGUCAGAUGACCCCUGCCAGGUGAUUCAAAUAAUGACAGCAAGGUUUGAACAUCUUCAGAAAAAUGUUCAAAAAUGUUCGGAGGCUCAUCAAGAUACUGGGAACAAAGUUUGGCAAUUCUAGCUUUGGCAAGCUGAAAUGCUUCUACUGUUGUUAGUGAACUUCGUUGAAGCAUUCUGCACAACUCAGGCAGUUCACCUAAGACAUCAUUUAGUAUGGCCAGCACAACAUGAUACUCUGGUUUCCGCAGUUUGUCCAAGCAGUAUUUGUGAAUUGGGUCGUUGUCUUCAGCCACUUGUUCUGCACAGUAUUCCAUCAAUACAGUAUCAUUCUUCAUCACGGCACUAACAGCAAAAUGUCUAGAGAGCCAUCUGACCUCGUUCAGUGGCCGAAAUGAAACUGUUUCACACUCAGCAGCCUUAGAUAGUUCUAUAAACAUAGUUUUUUUUAAAGAAGACCUACUAAAAAGUGUGACUAUGGUGUGUAGUAGAGUUUCAAUGCACCUCAUCAAAGAUGCGGGUUUCCAAGCAUCAUCAAUCUCCAAGUCA